GAUGAACGCUGGCGGCGUGCUUAACACAUGCAAGUCGAACGGAAAGGCCCAAGCUUGCUUGGGUACUCGAGUGGCGAACGGGUGAGUAACACGUGGGUGAUCUGCCCUGCACUUCGGGAUAAGCCAGGGAAACUGGGUCUAAUACCGGAUAGGACCACAUUUUGGAUGGUGUGGUGGAAAGUUUUUCGGUGUGGGAUGAGCUCGCGGCCUAUCAGCUUGUUGGUGGGGUAAUGGCCUACCAAGGCGUCGACGGGUAGCCGGCCUGAGAGGGUGUACGGCCACAUUGGGACUGAGAUACGGCCCAGACUCCUACGGGAGGCAGCAGUGGGGAAUAUUGCACAAUGGGCGCAAGCCUGAUGCAGCGACGCCGCGUGGGGGAUGACGGCCUUCGGGUUGUAAACUCCUUUCGCUAGGGACGAAGCGCAAGUGACGGUACCUGGAGAAGAAGCACCGGCUAACUACGUG
rnacentral:rRNA from 1 species